rnacentral:rRNA from 1 species
CCAGCACCCGCGGUAAUUCCAGCUCCAAUAGCGUAUAUUUAAGUUGCUGCAGUUAAAAAGCUCGUAGUUGGAUUUCGGGUGGGAAUGGCCGGUCCGCCGUUUCGGUGUGCACUUGCUACGCCCACCUUGCUGCCGGGGACGUGCUCUUGAGUUCACGCUCGGGACACGGAGUCGGCGAGGUUACUUUGAGUAAAUUAGAGUGUUCAAAGCAGGCCUACGCUCUGAAUACAUUAGCAUGGAAUAAUGGAAUAGGACCUCGGUUCUAUUUUGCUGGUUUUCGGAGCUGGAGGUAAUGAUUAAGAGGGACUGACGGGGGCAUUCGUAUUACGGUGUUAGAGGUGAAAUUCUUGGAUCGCCGUAAGACGAACUACUGCGAAAGCAUUUGCCAAGAAUGUUUUCAUUAAUCAAGAACGAAAGU